CCUACGGGUGGCUGCAGUGGGGAAUAUUGCACAAUGGGGGAAACCCUGAUGCAGCGACGCCGCGUGAGGGAGGAAGUAUUUCAGUAUGUAAAGCUUCAUCAGCAGGGAAGAAAAUGCCGGUACCUAUCUAAGAAUCCUCGGCUAACUACGUGCAGCCAGCCGCGGUAAUACGUAGGGGGCAAGCGUUAUCCGGAUUUACUGGGUGUAAAGGGGGUGUAGUCGGUUAAUAAAGUCAGAAGGGAAAACACAGGGCUCAACCUUGGGACUGCGUUUGAAACUGGGUGGCUAGAGUGCAGGAGAGGUAAGCGGAAUGCGUGGUGUAGCGGUGAAAUGCGUAGAUAUUAGGAAGAACACCGAUGGCGAAGGCAGCUUACUGGACUGUAACUGACGUUGAGGCUCGAAAGCGUGGGGAGCAAACAGGAUUAGAUACCCCUGUAGUC
rnacentral:rRNA from 1 species